AUGAAAAUCGAAAAAUGGUUUAUAAUGGUGAUUUUUGCGAAAACAAAGAAUUUGAAGCUUCGGAGCACUAUGAAAAAAAAAUCGCAGCGCUUUGAAUUUUUCAGAGAUUUUAGGGGACACUUUAAGGUUGAAAAAUUACCGACGAUAUCCUUCGUUUAUCCAUUUUAUCCAAAGUUAUACAAAGUUAUCCAAAUAUCCUUAAUUAUGCGAAUUUUUGAGAUCUGAAGAGCG